AUAAAAGCAGUGGCCUAUUGCCUUUAGUGAAUGGGUUGCCCGUAAACUUCAGGGAAACAAAUUUCCAUUGUUAUUGGGUGAACCUCUUGACUUCUUAUGAUUGAUGGUUCAGUAAAUAAUGAUACAUGU